AUGUGGUCUAGUGGUCAGGAUUCGUGGUUUUCACCCACGCGGCCCGGGUCCGAUUCCCGGCAU
rfam:Strongyloides venezuelensis genome assembly, scaffold: SVE_scaffold0000040